rnacentral:rRNA from 1 species
AAUAGCCUAACGGCUGAACCAGCAACUUGGAGGAAUGUAUAGCGAAAGCUAAUUGCACUAACAAAUAGUUGAUGCAAUAUCGACUUAGUCGAAUAAAAUUCUAGGUAGGAUUAUGAUAAUGACAUUGCCUGCCCAUGUGUCUUGACCAAAUUACGUGCCAGCAGUCGCGGUAAUACGUAGAAGACUAGUGUUAUUCAUCUUUAAUAGGUUUAAAGGGUACCUAGACGGUGAAUCAAGCCUUCAAAGGGACUAAUUUACUAGAGUUACUUAUGAGGGGGUAUUAAAGUACUGCUGGUGUAGAGAUGAAAUUCUGUGAUACCUCUUUUCGAAAGAAAAAUAAUGGCACAGGUAUAGGCAAAAGCAUCCCCUUAUGUGAUAACUGACGUUGAAGGACGAAGGCUUUGUGUAGCAAACAGGAUUAGAUACCCCAGUAGUCAAAGCAGAAAAUGAUGAAUGUCAUAGAUUAGACAUAUAAUAGUUUAUUCUAUAAAUGAAAGUGUAAGCAUUCCACCUCAAGAGUAAUUUGGCAACAUUGGAACUGAAAUCAUUAGACCGUUUCUGAAACCAGUAGUGAAGUAUGUUGUUUAAUUUGAUAAUCCGCAAAAAACCUUACCACAAUUUGAAUAUUUAUAUCAUUUUUCUGAUCUCUUCAAUGAAAAGAAAAAAAUGUAUUUACAAGCGUUGCACGGCUGUCUUCAGUUAAUGUCGUGAGACUUUGGUUAGUUCCAUUAAAUUAACGUAAACCCUCACUUUAUUUUUAUAUAAAGUAGUUCCCCACUAAAUUGGAUAAGAUAACAGGGACUAAGACAAGUCAUCAUGGCCUGAAUAUUGUGGGCUAUAGACGUGCCACAUAAACCUUACAAAAGGAUGUGAAAUUGUGAAAUUGAGCUAAUCCCCCAAAAUUGGAUAUACACUAACAAU